GUUUCUUUCGGCAUUGUUGUUGACAAAUUCAGCGGAAAUGUUUUCCCGCGGUGAAAUAAUAAUGGAAUGCUGCUAUUGUGUACGCGCGCUCGAGCGAGUGAGCGGUGUGGCGUAUAUAUAUGCAACCGUUGACUAGCAGUCGGCCAUUCGUUACAUAGAGAAAUCUAUUAGUUCUUAACGAGAUUUAUUAAUUGUGAAGUGGGUUACGAUUUGCCAUUAAUCUCGCGUUGAGAGAAACUUUCAGAAACCCUGUGGAUCAUGGAGAUGUCAAUGCAAAUGUUGGUUCUUUGCGUCCUGGUUAUGCUCGUCCUCCUCAGUCUCUUCACUGAGGGCGUGAUGGGCCAGUUUGGCGGCGGCGGAGGUGGCGAUGGUGGCGACAUCAUCUGGCUGCUGAAGGAGGCCGCCAAGAAGAAGUAGGCGACCUGUGCCAACAACCGUGGAUCGGCAACGUUCGGCCUGGUUAAUUCCUGUAUAAAUAGCACAGCUUAAUCUUGGUCUCCCAGUCCGUUGAUUCCCCAUCUGCACGUGUCCUGGCCGCCCUGUUCCCCCAAUUUAACUAGCUCCUCCCUAACCUGCUUCCCGCUCUACACAUACAUGUAGCUGACCAUGGAAUAUGGAUGCACUGCCGCCUUGGCACGGCCUGGCGAUUUCCAGGCACGACCGUGACCUUUGUCCCAUGGAUGGCAGCUGUUGCAAUGGUCACUACACUAUUAGCCAACCGUUGACAUCGCUGUCACUGAGCGCUGCUUUAUAACAAUACUUCCAUCUUUUUAUGCAUGCGUCCAUCCGUUAGAUAAUACAGAGUAUUAUUAGUAAUUAAGAAGUACUGCAACAUUAAUGAUGUUUACCAUUCUGCGUUGUCUUACACGGGAUAGUAUGGGAUUUAGCCUGGUGAGCUCCUCAUUUUAAUUGGAGGAGGCCGAUUUUGUAAUGGCGCUUACAAGCUGUGCAGGUCACAUGAUUUCCUUACUUACCUAACUACGAUUUGAUCUGGUUUGUUUUCUUGGCCAUUAACUAAUUAAACGCUGGUUCGCCAA